rnacentral:rRNA from 1 species
AAUGAACGCUGGCGGCGUGCUUAACACAUGCAAGUCGAACGGAUUUUAGCAGAGUAUCGCUAGAAUUAGUGGCAGACGGGUGAGUAUCACGUGGGUGAUCUACCCUUAAGAGGGAAAUAACUUGCCGAAAGGCGAGCUAAUGUCCCAUAAGACCACGUGCUUUCCUACGAAAGCAUGGGGCCAAAGUUCCGUAAGGAACACUUGAGGAUGAGCCUGUGUCCUAUCAGCUAGUUGGUGAGGUAAUGGCCCACCAAGGCUAAGACGGGUAUCCGACCUGAAAGGGUGACCGGACACACUGGAACUGAGACACGGUCCAGACUCCUACGGGAGGCAGCAGUGGGGAAUUUUGGACAAUGGGGGCAACCCUGAUCCAGCAACGCCGCGUGAAGGAUGAAGGUCUUCGGAUUAGUAACUUUCUUUUAUAGGGGACGAAUCUGUCCGUGAAUAACGGACCCUGACGGUACCCUGUGAAUAAGCCACGGCUAACUACGUGCCAGCAGCCGCUG